CUAAAACGCCGGAGGUUGAAAAAGUGGCAGGGCAGCCAGUAACAGUCCUCAGUGAGAAGACACCAGAAACAGCACAAUCUGUUCUAAUCCCUGAGUCUGAAUUGCUUUUGAGCUCUUUAGCUCCAAAAGGGUCCCCAGAGUUUCCUGAGGCGAAAACAGCCUUCCCAUCCGAGAAACCUGGGGGUUCCCUGGCUUCAAGUGAAGAGCCAUGGGUGGUACCUGGAGCUAAAACAUCUGAAGAUUCCAGAGUUGUGCAGCCUCGAACUGCUCCCAGGCAGACAACCAGCCCGCCUCCCAAGCUCAAACCACCACACUCAAGAAGGCCAGCAAAAGAGCAAGUUCCAAAAGAUGAACAACUUUCCCAUAAACCAGAUCCUGAGGUCUCUCAAAGUGAAACUGUUCUGCCUCCUGUCACCUUUAGAGUUGAGCCACCAAAGACAACAAUAGUGCCUUUAGAGACACGGGACAUUCCUCUCAUACCUGUGAUUUCACCAAGACCUAGUGAAGAGGAACUACAAACCACCAUGGAACAAACAGACCAGUCUACCCAAGAGCUCUUCACAACUAAGAUUCCACGAACAACUGAACUGGCAAAGACAACUCAGG
rnacentral:lncRNA from 1 species